rnacentral:antisense_RNA from 1 species
UCUCCGAAGGCUAGUCUGGCUUAAAACUACCAGUUUCAGCGGCUUGCAUUUUUCUCUUAUAUUUGGAUGGGGAAGAUUUUUCAGUUUUCCCUUAGAGACACUUUCCCUUGUGCGGCAUGAUAGUGUGUGCCUCUUUGCAGAAGGACCCCUGUAUGCAGAAGUAGAGGCGCUGGCCUCAGGCUCCUCCACUUCCUCUUGGACAGAAGACACUGAGCAUUUUUUCAGGAAGUGGUCACCCCAGUGGUCCCCGGCUUUCUCAGGCUUCCUGCAGCUCUCUACACAGUGAAUCACAGUGAGACACUGGCAGCAGGCACCACGGAAGGGACCCUCAAAUCUGAAGGCUCAAGGUCGUGGGAAAACAUGAAGUGGAGCAUGCCUCUUGUUUCCUCCGAUUAGAUGCUGAGUGUUGGAAGUUCUUCCUAGGAUUCACAAAGAAACUCCUGGUCUUCUUCUACAUACUUUUUCCUGGGAAAGACAACUUGUUUCACUGGCAGAAAAGAUCCCCACUGUUAAAGUGAGGAUCUUAGAUACAUGAUGGCACUGUUGGCUUCCUGAAGACCUCUUCAUCCUGCAGAAGGUGCAACUCCACAGCGUCCUGAGAGGUUGGACAUAAGGCUUGGAAAGAAUGAAUGGUGCCUCACGGUGAAUUACUACAGCCUGAAUCCUGUGACCCCACCUGUAAUGGCCCAAUGUUGUUGAAAUUACUGACUCCAUCCACUUAGCAAGUGGUAAAUACUCUGCAGGCAUAGAUUUGACUAAUGUGUUCUGUUCAGCACCUAUUUCAACAGAUCUCAGCUGCAGGUUGCUUUCACUCCCGAAGGGACGCAAUAGACCGUUAUCUGGCUACCAUGGGGUACCUCGACAGUUCUGCCACCAUACACAAUCUUUGCAGGCAGGAUUUGAACUGCAUCUGACAUUCUCUAGGAGCACAGGUGUAACAUCACCCUGAAGACACACUUCUUUCAGCAAAUUCAUUUGACACACUCAGGACAUUACUCACAAAGAACUCAUAGAAAAGGAUGGGGUUUGUGUU